rnacentral:rRNA from 1 species
GUGCCAGCAGCCGCGGUAAUACGUAGGUGGCAAGCGUUACUCGGAAUCACUAGGCGUAAAGCGCAGGUAGGCGGUUUGGUUAGUUUCUUGUGAAAGCUCCCGGCUUAACUGGGAGAGGCCAAGGAAUACUGCCAGGCUAGAGUGUGGUAGAGGAAGCUGGAAUUCCCGGUGUAGCGGUGAAAUGCGUAGAUAUCGGGAGGAAUACCUAUGGCGAAAGCAGGCUUCUGGGCCAUCACUGACGCUGAGCUGCGAAAGCUAGGGGAGCAAACAGGAUUAGAAACCCCUGUAGUCC